GAUCCUGGCUCAGGAUGAACGCUAGCUACAGGCUUAACACAUGCAAGUCGAGGGGCAGCAUGAAAGGAACUUCGGUUCUUUUUGAUGGCGACCGGCGCACGGGUGCGUAACGCGUAUCGAACCUGCCUCAUACUCGGGGAUAGCCUUGCGAAAGUAAGAUUAAUACCCGGCGGUCUCGGACGGCCGCAUGACAGUCCGAGUGAAGAUUUAUCGGUAUGAGAUGGCGAUGCGUCCCAUUAG
rnacentral:rRNA from 1 species